UUAUGGCUCAGGAUGAACGCUGGCGGCGUGCCUAACACAUGCAAGUCGAGCGGAGAUAGUUGAAGCCUAGCGAUGACUAUCUUAGCGGCGGAUGGGUGAGUAACACGUGGGUAACCUGCCCUGUACUGGGGAAUAACAGCUGGAAACGGCUGUUAAUGCCGCAUAUGCGCACGGAGCCGCAUGGCCCUGGGCGGAAAGAUCUAUCGGUACAGGAUGGGCCCGCGCCGGAUUAACUAGUUGGCGGGGUAACGGCCCACCAAGGUGAUGAUCCGUAGCCGACCUGAGAGGGUGACCGGCCACAUUGGGACUGAGACACGGCCCAAACUCCUACGGGAGGCAGCAGUGGGGAUAUUGCACAAUGGGGGAAACCCUGAAUGCAGCGACGCCGCGUGAAGGAUGACGUAUUUCGGUAUGUAAACUUCUAUCAGCGGGGAAGAAGAUGACGGUACCCGACUAAGAAGCCCCGGCUAACUACGUGCCAGCCGCCGC
rnacentral:rRNA from 1 species